GUUUGCCCUUUUUGGAUUCUCUGUUCAGUGUGGAUGCAUGUGAGAAAAACUCACAAAUUCAGUGUAACACAAGUUCACCAGAUGCCCUGGCAUUUUCCCUCCUUUCCCUUUCUCCGGACUGCCCCACCCACCUACUAACCUGUUCCCACUAAGCCGCCUGCUCUACAGUUGCCUGACCUUCUCCGCCCACCCUUAACAGCCCAUUUAACUGGCCCAUUUGCUUUCAAGCCUCUGAUCCCUGCAACCUGUAAUCCUGUCACCUUGAGCCUGUACCUGUCCGCCUGACCUUCUGCCUGCCUUGUCCUCCCUCGGCUCGUCUGGCUUAGAGACUUUUGGGUUUGCCACAGCUCCAUGGGAUCCUCUGCAGAAUCACACACAGAAUCAUUUAGGACUUCAGGGUGAAUUAUGGGAAAGCAGACCAUGUUGCACUCAUGUGCUCAGAGACACACAGACACCCUGAGGUGCUGGCAUGGAGGCCUUGUGGUGAAGGGUAUGAAAUACCCCAUGGCAGACUGGUAAGACGGUUGGAUAAACGGGGGUCAGUAAGUCACGUAGGUUGUUGUGUUCAGAGACAGUAAGUUGGAAGAGAAAAUAGGUCAGAGCAUUUACUUUGGAUUUUUAAUCAGGCUUUCUUUGCAUGAUAAGAAUGCUUGUGUUGC